CCUACGGGUGGCAGCAGUGAGGAAUAUUGGUCAAUGGACGAGAGUCUGAACCAGCAAAGUAGCGUGAAGGAUGACUGCUCUAUGGGUUGUAAACUUCUUUUAUAUGGGAAUAAAAUGUUCCACGUGUGGGAUUUUGUAUGUACCAUAUGAAGAAGGAUCGGGUAACGCCGUGCCAGCAGCCGCGGUAAUUCGGAGGAUCCGAGCGUUAUCCGGAUUUAGUGGGGUUAAGGGGAGCGUAGGUGGGUUGUUAAGUCAGUUGUGAAAGCUUGCGGCUCAACCGUAAAAUUGCAGUUGAAACUGGCAGUCUUGAGUACAGUAGAGGUAGGCGGAAUUCGUGGUGUAGCGGUGAAAUGCUUAGAUAUCACGAAGAACUCCGAUUGCGAAGGCAGCUCACUGGACUACAACUGACACUGAGGCUCGAAAGUGUGGGUAUCAAACAGGAUUAGAUACCCGGGUAGUC
rnacentral:rRNA from 1 species